CCAGGAGCAAGCCACCACCCUCCUGCUGGGAAAGUGUAAGGCCUCGCUGGGGAGCGCUCUUAAUCAGAAGCUCCCCUCAGCUCCGUGUUUGCUCAUACUGUUUUCCUUAGAUAGUUCGGUUUCACUCCUGCUUCAAGGGCAUGGUUUUCAUUUGUUGGAGAAGUAGCCCCAAGAGGCACUUGUCUGGCUGAGCUUUGCCGCCCGGGUGUUUGGAACGUGGAGCAGGCUAAGUGGACGGACUCUACCCCUCCUUCAGGCCCUCCCGUCUCUGGCUCUGCCCAGAAUGCACCAUCUAGGGGAAAUCAAAGUUUGUCCUCUCCCGUGACAGAAUGAGGAGAGACCACCAAGGCUGACCUUACCUAUAACAAAUCUUCCCCGGGACGCACACAUGUGCUUCUAUCGUAGUUCCCACAUUCUCCUCACACUUCUGUCAGCUUUCUGUUCUGAUCGCAAAGGGGCAGGGCAGCUGGUAGUAUUUCAUUCGUAAAGAGAAGAAUGAGGUAGAAAAAGAAUUUGUUCAAAUCUCUUCAACCACAAGUACCGUAAGAGGCAAUAGCGGUGGUUCCUAGCCUUCGCUUCCAGACCAGCGCUCCUGCUCUAUCUGCACACUGAGAGGCCGGAACAAGCAAGUUGAGAACGGGAUGCCAGGUUGUAGAGAUGCACCCUCGAUCUGCAGAACCUAUUCCGCCGUCUCAUUUCAUCAUCUGCAGAAGAUGCAGGAGGCGAGCAGCUUCAAGGCAAACCAGGAGUCUGCUGCCCAGAGUCCUCACCGAGAAGGGGAUGAAGCUUGGUCAGAACCUGGACAGCUUAUUAACCAACCAGAACGCUGCUAUGAAAAGCCCUUCUCGGUCAGCUACGGCGAAACUGCAGUCCUGCCUGCUUCACACAUACACCGGAGUUAAAGCAACGCCUCUGCGUGUGGCUCAGAUUAUGUCAAGAACUGCUCAACUGGCAUCUACAUAGUUAGCCUGAAGGAUAGGGAGAAGUCAAAACAGCACACGCCCGUGACCUCUGAUGAUCUGAAAGUGCUUCCAACAAGUGUUCCUCCAGGUGUCUCCAUGAAGUCUUCCUCCUUUUCAAAACCACCCCAGACCCUGUAAAUGAACCUGGAGACACAGAAACAUGGCUGAAGAUUUGACUAAAUAUUGGGAAAGCUCGAGCGGCAUGAGGAUGUUUUCUGGACCAUUUGAUGAAAGCACAGAAAUUUCAUGGACACUUACUUCGCUUGAUGGCAUUUGCAGCUGGAGGCAGAUUCAGGAUAUAAGUGGUCCUCACCCUUCAUCAAAGAAAUCUUCAUUUGCAACAGAAGGAGACUAUUACAGAAAACUGCAACCAAUCAAAAUGAAGAGGUGGUCCCAGUUCCGAUGACUACAUCGGCACACCCAAGGCUCAUGGAAUAUUGCAGAAGAGGGGCCAGAAAGGAUUGUAAGAGUUAGAGUAUGAGGGGGUUUGCUGUGAGAUCAUGUCACCUAGCAAUGUCAGAAACUACACCCAAAAGUCUUACCAACAUGACUGCCUAAACAUGGGUUGAACAAAGGCAACACCAAUAGGCAUAAAAGUGUUGACGGGGAAAGUCCAGGAAGCUUCAAUCUUACAUAAAGAUCUAUAGACAACCAAGGAAUGCCGAGAGCAGAAGAAAUAGCCUUCCCCAGGGAAGAGCACACCGACUGGUUAUUCAAUACCAAACUGUCAGCCCUGAACACACACAUAAAAGUAACAUUAUAUAGACCAGACAGGUUAUUAUACAUACAUCAAUUCAGGAAUUAUACAUACACCAUACACAUAUACAUAUACAUAGGCACAUACACAUAUAUGUAUACCAUGUAGUUAUACAUGUAUGUAUGUAAUGACAAUUAAUGAGAAAAGAGGCCAUGAGUUUGGAAGAGAACAAGGAGGGGCAUAUGUGAGGGUUUGGAGGAAGGGAAGGGACGGGAGAAAUGAUGUAAUUAUGACUUCUAAAAUAAUUUGAAACACAUUAAAAUAUAAUAUUUGGCCAUUAUUACAAAUUCUAAGAACACGAAAGAGUUAGGGAAAAGCAAGCCUUCUUCGUCUUAUUAAUGCGAUCUGUGGUUUUCUGAGUAUUCAGUCUUGCAACUUCCUGCUUUCACCUAACCACAGGUCCCUGAAGUCAAAGGACACCAAGCUGUAUAAAAUGGCAUCACUUUAAAAGGAUUGUCUAAGAGCCUGCAUCUUAGAGCCACAAUCGCUAUUUCCUGAGUAUGCUGGGAGUUUUCUUCCCAGAACCUUUUCCUGGCUCAUACAGUCUUUAUUUAAUUUAUUGUUAAUUUUAUUAUUAAAGUGUGUGUGCUUGUGUAUGAUACCUGUGUCAGCAUAUGUUCUACAGUGUAUGUGUUGAGGUCAGAGAAUGACGUUGUAGAGCCAAUUUCUUUCCAGAAAGUGAAUUCCAGAAAUCAGGGUGACAUCACAGGGUGACAAGUUUAUGUGUGAGCCGUCUUGCUAUCCAAACCCAUUAUUAUCGUCGUCAUCACCAUCAUUAUCAUUAUUAUUAUUAUUAUGUUAUAUAAAUGGAUGCUUUGCCUGAAUGUCUGUUUACCAUGUGCGUAUCUGGUGCCACAGAGGCCAGAAGAUUAUGCUGAAUCCUUUGAAACUGGAGUUCCAGAUGCUGUAAGCUACCACAUGGGUGCUGGGAAAUGAAUCCAGGUUCUCAGGAAGAACAGCCAGUGUUUCUGAAGCACUGAGUCACCACUUCAGCCCCCAAAUACAAUUUUUAAUUAGAUGUUUUGUGAAAGAAAUAUUCCUGUAUUUGGAUAAAUAUACCUGUAAGAACACCUCUACACAUGGAGUUGGUCAUCUAGGGGCAUUUCUGGUUUUGACAUUUUACUGUAUUUUAUUUUUUAACAUACUUAUGUAGAUUUAUUACUCUUCUCUCAAUAUGAAACAAUAAAAAA